rnacentral:rRNA from 1 species
GACGAACGCUGGCGGCGUGCUUAACACAUGCCAGUCGAACGGAAAGGUCCUGCUUUUGUGGGGUGCUCGAGUGGCGAACGGGUGAGUAACACGUGAGUAACCUGUCCUUGACUUUGGGAUAACUUCAGGAAACUGGGGCUAAUACCGGAUAGGAGCUCCUGCUGCAUGGUGGGGGUUGGAAAGUUUCGGCGGUUGGGGAUGGACUGGCGGCUUAUCAGCUUGUUGGUGGGGUAGUGGCUUACCAAGGCUUUGACGGGUAGCCGGCCUGGGAGGGUGACCGGACACAUUAGGACUGAGAUACGGCCCAGACUCCAACGGGAGGCAGCAGUGGAGAAUAUUGCACAAUAGGCGGAAGCAUGAUGCAGCAACGCCGCGUGCGGGAUGACGGCCUUCGGGUUGUAAACCGAUGUCGCCUGUGCCGAAGCGUGAGUGACGGUAAUGGGUAAAGAAGCACCGGCUAACUACGUG